rnacentral:piRNA from 1 species
GACAAACAAAUAUAGAAAUUGAUACCAAAGA